rnacentral:rRNA from 1 species
UGGGGAAUCUUGCGCAAUGGGCGAAAGCCUGACGCAGCAACGCCGCGUGCGGGAAGAAGGCCCUCGGGUUGUAAACCGCUUUCAGCAGGAACGAAAAUGACGGUACUUGCAGAAGAAGGUGCGGCCAACUACGUGCCAGCAGCCGCGGUGACACGUAGGCACCAAGCGUUGUCCGGAUUUAUUGGGCGUAAAGAGCUCGUAGGCGGUUCGGUAAGUCGGGUGUGAAAACUUUGGGCUUAACCCAAAGCCU